CAAAGAUUAAGCCAUGCAAGUGUCAGUUCAUGCCAAACUAAGGUGAAACCGCGAAAGGCUCAUUAAAUCAGUUACAGUUUACUUGAUGGCAUGACGUUACCGUUACUUGGAUAACUGUGGCAAUUCUAGAGCUAAUACAUGCACUCGAGUCCCGACCGCGUUAGCGCGCGGAAGGGAUGCUUUUAUUAGAUCAAAACCAAUCGGGAAAUCGGGCCUGGCUCCCGACGUACCGUACAGUCUUGGUGACUCUGGAUAAAUUGUCGCUGAUCGCAAGGUCUUCGCGCCUGCGACGCAUCUUUCAAAUGUCUGACUUAUCAACUAUCGACGGUAUGCCACGUGCCUACCGUGGUGGUAACGGGUAACGGGGAAUCAGGGUUCGAUUCCGGAGAGGGAGCCUGCGAAACAGCUACCACAUCCAAGGAAGGCAGCAGGCGCGCAAAUUACCCACUCCCGGCACGGGGAGGUAGUGACGAAAAAUAACGAUGCAGGACUCUAUCAUGAGGCUCUGCAAUCGGAAUGAGAAGACUCUAAAUCAUUUACCGAGUAUCCAUUGGAGGGCAAGUCUGG
rnacentral:rRNA from 1 species